UUGAUGUCUAAAUGCUGAGGAAUGUUUUUUGGGCCCAGUCCACUUCAUUCUGUUGUUCGGGAAAUGGCACCCUCCUUCACCCCUGUUAAUGAUUUCACUUGAAGAUAUUUUAUUUAAACUGGACUUCAGAAGAAAUGUAUUGAAGAGGAUGAACAAGGCAGUGGGGUGAAGGCAUUGAAAAAUAAGCAGCCUGUAUGCAUGUACUGCUAUGGAAAUCUUUGCAAAGGGACAUGAUUGAUAUCCUGCAAGAUUAGAAGAACCUGCCUGAGGAGGCUUUUGAAUGUCAUUAACAUUUGCCUGAAAUCUGGAAAGCUUGGAUUUCAGAGGGCCCCAGAAUGUGAGAGGCAGACACCACCUCUGUGGACACCUCUUGGAAGCAACUGUAAUCUUCUAGGAGUUAAAGAAAA